AGAGCGAACGCUGGCGGCAGGCCUAACACAUGCAAGUCGAACGCCCCUUCGGGGGAGUGGCGGACGGGUGAGUAACGCGUGGGAAUGUGCCCUUUGGUACGGAACAACUGAGGGAAACUUCAGCUAAUACCGUAUGUGCCCUUCGGGGGAAAGAUUUAUCGCCAUUGGAGCAGCCCGCGUUGGAUUAGGUAGUUGGUGGGGUAAAGGCCUACCAAGCCUACGAUCCAUAGCUGGUCUGAGAGGAUGAUCAGCCACACUGGGACUGAGACACGGCCCAGACUCCUACGGGAGGCAGCAGUGGGGAAUCUUGCGCAAUGGGCGAAAGCCUGACGCAGCCAUGCCGCGUGUAUGAUGAAGGUCUUAGGAUUGUAAAAUACUUUCACCGGGGAAGAUAAUGACGGUACCCGGAGAAGAAGCCCCGGCUAACUUCGUGCCAGCAGCCGC
rnacentral:rRNA from 1 species